rnacentral:SRP_RNA from 1 species
CCGUGCAGCCGGGAGAGCAGCGGCCUCUUGUACCUGCAAUCCGCUAUAGCAGGGGUGAUGGCGCGCAGAGGGCUUUGGCCUGUAUUGCUGCCCUUUAUAAGUGGCGUUGAAGUUUGGGUCUUGCGCAACGGGUGUCUGUGAACCGUGUCAGGUUGGGAACAAAGCAGCACUAAGCAGAAUUUCCCGUGUGCCGCAAGGGUGCCUGGCGGAGUUAACUGUAAAGGUAACGGAUAUGGGUGACGGUUCGAAGCGUGCCGCACGG